AACUUACUCAAAGGCACAGCAGGAACGGGGAUUCUUUCACUUCCAACUGCCUUUAAGAAUGUUGGAUUGUGGGCAGGUCUGGCUUUGUUUUUAAUUGUGGGAAUGCUCACAGUACACUGUAUGCUGAUGUUAAAUAGUUGCUGUCAUCUGCUAGAAAAAAGAUCAAGCAAAUCUAUUCUGACCUAUGUAGAUGCAGUUGAACUAAAUUUUCAAUAUGGUCCAAAAAGUCUACAAAAGUCUGCAGCUAUAAUGAAGUAA
rnacentral:sRNA from 1 species